rnacentral:rRNA from 1 species
UCGAACGGGGAUGCUGACGGAAGGGGUGCUUGCACUCUGGAAGUAAGGAUCUUAGUGGCGGACGGGUGAGUAACGCGUGGGUAACUUGCCCCAUACCGGGGGAUACCACCUGGAAACAGGUGCUAAUACCGCAUAAGCGCACGGGAGCGCAUGCUCCUGUGUGAAAAACUCCGGUGGUAUGGGAUGGACCCGCGUCUGAUUAGCCAGUUGGCAGGGUAACGGCCUACCAAAGCGACGAUCAGUAGCCGGCCUGAGAGGGUGGACGGCCACAUUGGGACUGAGACACGGCCCAAACUCCUACGGGAGGCAGCAGUGGGGAAUAUUGCACAAUGGGGGAAACCCUGAUGCAGCGACGCCGCGUGAGUGAAGAAGUAUUUCGGUAUGUAAAGCUCUAUCAGCAGGAACGAGACAAGACGGUACCUGACUAAGAAGCCCCGGCUAACUACGUGCCAGCAGCCGCGGUAAUACGUAGGGGGCAAGCGUUAUCCGGAAUCACUGGGUGUAAAGGGAGCGUAGACGGCUGUGCAAGCCUGAAGUGAAAGGCGGGGGCCCAACCCCCGGACUGCUUUGGGAACUGUACGGCUGGAGUGCAGGAGAGGUAAGUGGAAUUCCUAGUGUAGCGGUGAAAUGCGUAGAUAUUAGGAGGAACACCAGUGGCGAAGGCGGCUUACUGGACUGUAACUGACGUUGAGGCUCGAAAGCGUGGGGA